UCGGCCAGAAGCGUAAGUAUGGAAAACUGCGUAGUUUUAAUAACUAAUUUCGUGCUGUUUCUAUGUUUAUAGUUUGGAUGAAGGAUGCCGUAAAUGAUUAUAAGUACCACGAAGUGAGCUGAGCAACGUCCCAUCCCGAGAAGGAAGCGCAUGAAAUGAUGCCGUAGGACGCUGGAGGAGUAUAGUGAUGUGCACGUGAUAGGUUUAGUGGUGUUUUUAUAGUGUUAUACGAUUUGUAAGAAAUAAAGGUUUUAAAAUUUUAA